rnacentral:rRNA from 1 species
ACCCCACUGCUAUCGGGAUAGGACUAAGACAUGCUAGUCGUGUGCUUCAGACAAAAACGAAGCACGGCACACAGCUCAGUAACACGUGGCUAACCUGCCUUAGGAUAGGAAUACCCCCGGGAAACUGGGGCUAAUUCUCAAUAGGCGAAGAACUCUGGAAUGAGUCUUCACUGAAAAGGCGCUAGAGUUAUGCUCUUUGGCGUCGCCACAAGGAUGGGGCCGCGACCGAUCAGGUUGUUGGUGAGGUAAUGGCUCACCAAGCCUUUUACCGGUGCGGGCCGUGAGAGCGGGAGCCCGGAGAUGGGCACUGAGACAAGGGCCCAGGCCCUACGGGGCGCAGCAGUCGCGAAAACUUUGCAAUAAGCGAAAGCUUGACAGGGCUAUCCCGAGUGCCAUCCGCUGAGGAAGGCUUUUACCCAGUCUAGAACGCUGGGGGAAUAAGGAGAGGGCAAGUCUGGUGUCAGCCGCCGCGGUAAUACCAGCUCUCCGAGUGGUGUGGAUGUUUAUUGGCCCUAAAGCAUCCGUAGCUGGCUAAGUUAGUCCCUUGUUAAAUCCACCGAAUUAAUCGUUGGAUUGCGGGGGAUACUGCUUGGCUAGGGGACGAGAGAGGCAGACGGUAUUUCCGGGGUAGGGGUGAAAUCCUAUAAUCCCGGGAAGACCACCAGUGGCGAAGGCUGUCUGCUAGAACGCGCCCGACGGUGAGGGAUGAAAGCUGGGGGAGCGAACCGGAUUAGAUACCCGGGUAGUCCCAGCUGUAAACGAUGCAGGCUAGGUGUUUGGACGGCCACGUGCCGUUCUAGUGCCGCAGGGAAGCUGUUAAGCCUGCCGCCUGGGGAGUACGAUCGCAAGAUUGAAACUUAA